GUGGUUCGUGAAGCAUCUAAUCCAGUGGGAAUUGCAGUUAAUAUUGUAUCUGGGCGGAAUGGUAAAUAUAGUCAUUGUUGCAUUGUACAUUAAGUACCGCUUGUCGCCAUAUGGGUGCAGUGUCUACCCAUUAAUGAGCGCUGUUCAGCGCAAAUAACAUUGAAAUAAAUGAAGUAGUGUUCUGUUUGUAUGCUGCAUGUCGGAUUUACAUGAUGAUUGAAUAUGAUUGAUAUGUUAUCAGUUUUAUGUAACACGGGAUAAGAUAUGACCAUGAAAAAAUACAUAUGAUUAGUUUUGACUGACAAUGAAAGUUAUUGGCAAAUGGGUAUCACAAUGAAAAUACAUUGAAGUUGCUUUCUAAGGGCUGGAAUAGACUGCUAACAACGCACCCCUAAAAGUCAAAUCACACCAUAUUAUUUGGGCAUCAUCUGGAUAGGGUCAUAAGACUAUGAGCCAAUUUGGUUUGGAUGCAUGAAGGCCUUGCAGAGAUAUUAGCUCACUUCCUGUUUGGCGUGCCCCUGAGGUCAAAGGUCACCAAAUUGUUUUGAUGUCCCCAGAAUGAUGUCAUGAGUCUAUGUAGGGCUGCACGAUAUGGGCAAAAGAUGAUAUCCCGAUAUUUUUUGGCUGAAUGGCGAUAUACGAUAUAUAUCUCGAUAUUUUCUAUAGAGUGGGUUAGAUGUUUUUUUUUUAAGUCAAAAUCCACAUGUGAGACGUUGGAAGCACUUUUAUUAAAACACAGGUCAGUAUGACUGCAACAUAUAUCAUCAUGUGAUUUUGUAUAGUCAUUUUCACCAGAAUGGAACAUGGAACUCUGGCUGCCGCUGGCACAUGGGCACGGGGCGUUCGUGCCCACUGCACCGUCAGUCAACGGACGUGGGAAGGCGUUGCUGACUGAUGGGGGAGUAGUCUUUGCAGAGGCAUCCGUCAGCCAAUCAAAUCGCUUCGCCGGGUUCUUCCUGCUACUUCCUGCUUGUUGCGAUGCAAGAUGACCCGCUUUCCUGCUUUCCAGUAUCGUCAGAGCCCGAGUCGCGUCACAGUGCUUACAUUUGCAUACGCGAUCUGAUUGGAUGACGGAACCGUCGCUGCCGAAAAAGUUGAAAAUUUUUCAACUUUCUGACGGUGGCGAACGCUCCAACUGAACGGACGGAUCCACAAUGCAUUGAGCGUCCGUCCCCAUUCAAAGUCAAUGGGGAUCAGUCAACGGACGGAGGUAGUGGGCACGGGGCGGUCAUGCCCACUGCACCGUCAGUCAAAGGACGUAGAAGGCGUGGCUGGCGGAGGGGGGAGGUUUCCAGGGUCGUCAGAGCCCGAGUCGCGUCACAGUGCUUAAAUUUGCAUGCGGGAUCUGAUUGGAUGACGGAUCCGUUGCUGCUGAAAAAGUUGAACAUUUUUCAACUUUUUGACGGAACGGUGCGCACGGAUCCACCAUGUAUUAUGCGUCCGUCCCCAUUCAAAGUCAAUGGGGAUCAGUCAAUGGACGGAGGCAGUGGGCACGAGGCGUCAGGGCUUGUUCACACUACCUGCGUCUGUCGGCGGAUCUCAUGCACCAAUGCACUGCCCCCUAGUGGUUCCAGAUGCAAUAGCAGGGUAAUAAAACAUGGCUUUGAUAAACGGUCUCAGGUAUUUAUUUUUGUCAUUCAUCAGACCCGCUCACCCAAAUGCUACUUACAGUAUUACAUAAAUUUGAUUCAAGAAGCAGGUAGGGGUUAAACUGUGAACAGAUACAUGUGAUUUAAAGAGCAGUUGGGGGUAAAACUGUCACGCCGGGUCCUGCUACGCGGUCCACUACCUCCAUCUAGUGGCCACUUGACGCCAGUGGUCCUCCUCACACACCAGGCUGCAAUCAUCAAAUCACCAUUCCCUACUUCAGCCGGAGAUCUCCUACCAGCCGGCGCCAGUUCGUCGUUACGUCUACACAGUCAGUAUCGGUCCUACCAGUAUUCUUGAAAACUGUCUCUAGCCUGAACCCUUGAUAACCACCUCUCUUCCUCUCUAGUACUUCCCCUGCCAUCGAACCCCUGCCUGCCUAACUACCCGUCUGUCGCCAAGCCCCUGACUGCCUGCUCGUUACCGGGCCCCUGCCUGCCUGACUACCCAUCUGUCGCCAAGCCCCUGACUGUCUGAUCGCCCGCCUGUUAC
ensembl:lncRNA